UCCCUGGUGGACAAGUGGCUAGCAUGUGGUGAUCUCAGCGCCGUGGCCCGUGUUCGAGUCCCGGUCAUGGAA